CCAGCAGCUGCGGUAAUUCCAGCUCCAAUAGCGUAUAUUAAAGUUGUUGCAGUUAAAAAGCUCGUAGUUGGAUUUCUGGCAGGAGCGACCGGUCUCACACUCUGUGUGAGAACUCGUGUUGUCUCUGGCCAUCCUUGGGGAGAUCCUGUUUGGCAUUAAGUUGUUGGUCUCGGGAUCUGCAUCGUUUACUGUGAAAAAAUUAGAGUGUUUAAAGCAGGCAUUUGCUUGAAUACAUUAGCAUGGAAUAAUAAGAUAGGACUUUGGUACUAUUUUGUUGGUUUGCGCACCAAGGUAAUGAUUAAUAGGGAUAGUUGGGGGUAUUCAUAUUUAAUUGUCAGAGGUGAAAUUCUUGGAUUUAUGAAAGAUGAACUUAUGCGAAAGCAUUUACCAUGGAGGUUUUCAUUAAUCAAGAACGAAAGU
rnacentral:rRNA from 1 species